UACAGAGGUCCCAAGCGUUGUUCGGAUUCACUGGGCGUAAAGGGCGCGUAGGCGGACCGGUAAGUCAAAGGUGAAAUCCCUCGGCUCAACUGAGGAACUGCCUUUGAAACUGUCGGGCUUGAGGCCGGGAGGGGGUAGCGGAAUUCCCAGUGUAGCGGUGAAAUGCGUAGAUAUUGGGAGGAACACCGGUGGCGAAGGCGGCUACCUGGACCGGUUCUGACGCUGAUGCGCGAAAGCGUGGGUAGCAAACAGG
rnacentral:rRNA from 1 species